GAUGAACGCUGGCGGCGUGCCUAAUACAUGCAAGUCGAGCGAACAGACGAGGAGCUUACUCCUCUGACGUUAGCGGCGGACGGGUGAGUAACACGUGGAUAACCUACCUAUAAGACUGGGAUAACUUCGGGAAACCGGAGCUAAUACCGGAUAACAUGUUGAACCGCAUGGUUCAACAGUGGAAGACGGUCUUGCUGUCACUUAUAGAUGGAUCCGCGUCGCAUUAGCUAGUUGGUAAGGUAACGGCUUACCAAGGCAACGAUGCGUAGCCGACCUGAGAGGGUGAUCGGCCACACUGGAACUGAGACACGGUCCAGACUCCUACGGGAGGCAGCAGUAGGGAAUCUUCCGCAAUGGGCGAAAGCCUGACGGAGCAACGCCGCGUGAGUGAAGAAGGUCUUCGGAUCGUAAAACUCUGUUAUUAGGGAAGAACAAAUGUGUAAGUAACUAUGCACGUCUUGACGGUACCUAAUCAGAAAGCCACGGCUAACUACGUG
rnacentral:rRNA from 1 species